rnacentral:rRNA from 1 species
AGUUCAAGAGUACGUGAAACUGCUUAGAGGUUAAGCCCGAUGAACCUGAAUAUCCAUUAUGGAAAAUUCAACAUUAAUAUUAUAAUAUUUAUUUAUAAAUAUUAUAAAAAUAGUGUGCAAUUUUUCCAUAUAAGGACAUUGUAAUCUGUUAAUGUUAUAAAUAUUUAUCAUAAGAUUCAGUAUAUAAAAGUUUAUUCAAAUUAGUUAUUUUCCGAUUUCUAACAUAGAAUAAAUUUAAUUGAAUUUGAUAAAUCAUUGACAGAUUUAUUUAUAUAUAGUGCUUAAAUUCUUAAUUGAAUUUUACAAUAAUUUAUAAAUGUAUUUUCAUUUAUUUAUUUAUUGUAUGCACUUAUAUGAUUAACAAUGCUAUAGAUUCAGGAUACC